rnacentral:rRNA from 1 species
UACGUAGGGUGCAAGCGUUAAUCGGAAUUACUGGGCGUAAAGCGUGCGCAGGCGGCUUUGCAAGACAGAUGUGAAAUCCCCGGGCUUAACCUGGGAACUGCAUUUGUGACUGCAUGGCUCGAGUGCGGCAGAGGGGGAUGGAAUUCCGCGUGUAGCAGUGAAAUGCGUAGAUAUGCGGAGGAACACCGAUGGCGAAGGCGGCAUCCUGGACCAAUUCUGACGCUGAGGAGCGAAAGCCAGGGGAGCAAACGGG